UAAGGAAUAUUGGUCAAUGGACGCAAGUCUGAACCAGCCAUGCCGCGUGAAGGAUGAAGGUCCUCUGGAUUGUAAACUUCUUUUAUCUGGGACGAAAACGGGAUUUUUAUCUCAAUUGACGGUACCAGAGGAAUAAGCACCGGCUAACUCCGUGCCAGCAGCCGCGGUAAUACGGAGGGUGCGAGCGUUAUCCGGAUUUACUGGGUUUAAAGGGUGCGUAGGUGGGCUUAUAAGUCAGUGGUGAAAUCUCCGAGCUUAACUUGGAAACUGCCGGUGAUACUAUAGGUCUUGAAUUAUCUGGAGGUAAGCGGAAUAUGUCAUGUAGCGGUGAAAUGCUUAGAUAUGACAUAGAACACCAAUUGCGAAGGCAGCUUACUACAUAUAAAUUGACGCUGAGGCACGAAAGCGUGGGGAUCAAACA
rnacentral:rRNA from 1 species